rnacentral:tRNA from 1 species
GCAUUUGUUGUUUAGUGGUAGGAUACUUGCUUUUUAUGCGAGAGGCCCAGGUUUGAUUCCUGGCUGGUGCA